CGGACGGGUGAGUAACGCGUGGGUAACCUGCCUUAUACAGGGGGAUAACAGUCAGAAAUGGCUGCUAAUACCGCAUAAGCGCACAGAGCUGCAUGGCUCAGUGUGAAAAACUCCGGUGGUAUAAGAUGGACCCGCGUUGGAUUAGCUUGUUGGUGGGGUAACGGCCCACCAAGGCGACGAUCCAUAGCCGGCCUGAGAGGGUGAACGGCCGCAUUGGGACUGAGACACGGCCCAGACUCCUACGGGAGGCAGCAUG
rnacentral:rRNA from 1 species